UGAGGAAUAUUGGGCAAUGCCCGCAAGGGUGACCCAGCGACGCCGCGUGGAGGAUGAAUGUCGUAAGAUUGUAAACUCCUGUUAGAGGGGAAGAAUAGUACCGGUUGGACCGGUAUAUGACUGUACCCUCAGAGAAAGCCCCGGCUAACUACGUGCCAGCAGCCGCGGUAAUACGUAGGGGGCAAGCGUUGUCCGGAUUUACUGGGUGUAAAGGGCGCGCAGGCGGGAUAAAAAGUCAGUGGUGAAAUCCUACAGCUUAACUGUAGAACUGCCUUUGAUACUUUUAUUCUUGAGUUCGGGAGAGAGAGACGGAAUUCCAGGUGUAGUGGUGAAAUACGUAGAUAUCUGGAAGAACACCAGUUGCGAAGGCGGUCUCUUGGACCGACACUGACGCUGAGGCGCGAAAGCGUGGGGAGCAAACA
rnacentral:rRNA from 1 species